GAGGAAAAUCCCCCGCAUAAGUCGAAGGUGUGACGCGGACUGAAAAAGAGUAGGGAAGCUGUUAAGCAAGCCGUCAAGAAAAGCUGCUAUUGUUUCAUUAUGGCCCGUACCGUAAACCGACACAGGUGGAUGGGGAGAGAAUCCUAAGGCCGGCGGAAGAAGUAUUGUUAAGGAACUCGGCAAAAUGACCCCGUAACUUCGGGAGAAGGGGUGCCUGCGAGAGCAGGCCGCAGAGAAGAGGCCCAAGCAACUGUUUAGCAAAAACACAGGUCUAUGCAAAACCGAAAGGUGAGGUAUAUGGGCUGACGCCUGCCCGGUGCUGGAAGGUUAAGGGGAGUGGUCAGGAAACGAAGCCACGAACUUAAGCCCCAGUAAACGGCGGCCGUAACAAUAACGGUCCUAAGGUAGCGAAAUUCCUUGUCGGGUAAGUUCCGACCCGCACGAAAGGCGUAAUGAUUUGGGCGCUGUCUCGACAAUACAUCCGGUGAAAUUGAAGUGCCAGUGAAGAUGCUGGCUACCUGCGCCAGGACGGAAAGACCCCAUGGAGCUUUACUCCAGCUUGAUACUGGGACCCGGUAUUGCAUGUACAGGAUAGGUGGUAGGCUAGGAAAUGUGGACGCCAGUCUGCAUGGAGCCGCUGUUGGGAUACCACCCUUGUGGUGCUGGGUUUCUAACCAGAGGCCGUGAACCGGUCUGGGACAAUGUCAGGUGGGGAGUUUGACUGGGGCGGUCGCCUCCGAAAGGGUAUCGGAGGCGCCCAAAGGUUCCCUCAGAAUGGUUGGAAACCAUUCGAAGAGUGCAAAGGCAGAAGGGAGCUUGACUGCGACACCGACGGGUGGAGCAGGUACGAAAGUAGGGCUUAGUGAUCCGGUGGAAUUUAAGUGGGAAUGCCAUCGCUCAACGGAUAAAAGCUACCCUGGGGAUAACAGGCUGAUCGCUCCCAAGAGUUCACAUCGACGGAGUGGUUUGGCACCUCGAUGUCGGCUCAUCGCAUCCUGGGGCUGAAGUCGGUCCCAAGGGUUGGGCUGCUCGCCCAUUAAAGCGGUACGCGAGCUGGGUUCAGAACGUCGUGAGACAGUUCGGUCCCUAUCCGGCGUGGGCGUAGGAUAUCUGAGAGGAGCUGUCCUUUGUACGAGAGGACCGGGAUGGACUGACCUCUGGUGUACCGGUUGGCGAUCAACGCCACGGCCGGGUAGCCAUGUCGGGACGGGAUAAACGCUGAAGGCAUCUAAGCGUGAAGCCCCCCUCAAGAUGAGAUAUCCCAUUCGAAAGAAGUAAGACCCCUUGAAGACGACGAGGUUGAUAGGGCAGGGGUGGAAGUGCUGUAAAGCAUGGAGCUGACUGCUACUAAUCGGUCGAGGGCUUGACU
rnacentral:rRNA from 1 species